AGCGAACGCUGGCGGCAGGCCUAACACAUGCAAGUCGAACGAACCCUUCGGGGUUAGUGGCGGACGGGUGAGUAACACGUGGGAACGUGCCCUUAGGUUCGGGAUAACUCAGGGAAACUUGUGCUAAUACCGAAUGUGCCCUUCGGGGGAAAGAUUUAUCGCCUUUAGAGCGGCCCGCGGCUGAUUAGCUAGUUGGUGAGGUAAUGGCUCACCAAGGCUACGAUCAGUAGCUGGUCUGAGAGGAUGACCAGCCACAUUGGGACUGAGACACGGCCCAAACUCCUACGGGAGGCAGCAGUGGGGAAUCUUGCGCAAUGGGCGAAAGCCUGACGCAGCCAUGCCGCGUGGAUGAUGAAGGUCUUAGGAUUGUAAAAUCCUUUCACCGGUGAAGAUAAUGACUGUAGCCGGAGAAGAAGCCCCGGCUAACUUCGUGCCAGCCGCCGCCGUAACAC
rnacentral:rRNA from 1 species